rnacentral:misc_RNA from 1 species
CCAACUCUCGACAUCUUCUUCCUCCCCAAGAAGAUUCCUAAAAAAAUUAAAGCAUCUCUCUUCUUCCUAAACAUCAACGAGAGGAGACUUCUGGGCGCCAUCUAGAUUAAAAAGGUUAGUCAUUUUUUAAAUUUUUUUUACCAUAUGUCUUUGUUUACGUUGAAUUAAGUGAUAAUGGGGACGUGAGGCAUCUCAUCAUUGUUCACAAUUACUUUAAUCAAUUCAAUUCAAUCUUUCAAUUUCAAUUUUGGGUGACUGAUUUCUUCCCACCAACUUUAAAUUACCAUAAAUCCAAAAACUUCAAAAUUUUAAUCUAUGUAACGCCUUCAUAGUUUAAAUUACCAUAAAUCCAAAAACUUAUUAGCAAACGUUUGCGUAAUUAUGGUAAUUUAAAAUUCAUUACAAUCCCCAAAUUAUCUCCCUUAAAUAUUCUAUAAAGAUUUGUUUUCCAAAAGCUACAUAUACGACACACACCACCUCUCUCUUCUCUCUCACAAUGGUUAAAACUAAAGCACUAGCUCCCUACUCUACCUUAGAUUAAAUCUACGACGAUCAUUUAACCGCAGGUAACAAUAAGAUUGUUGUUCGGAUCAUCCAUAGUUGGGAAUUUUGAGACUUUAGAAGAAACAAUAGCUUACUAAGUCUUGAAUGUCUUCUUUUUGACGAAAAUAAGCUUCUGUCCUCCCUAAUCGGCUGCCUAACUUCCAAGAUCAAAUGGUUCUAGGCAAUUUGUACGGCAUCAAUGAUUUCGAUGUUGUUGCUUCCUCAAACCGUUAUCGUCGAACCAACCACAAAUGUAAAAUUGUUUUCACAGACAAAACGUUUUUGGACAGUGUUAAAGAGCGACAUUGCUCCAUUGGUUACGAAUAUGUUAGGAUGUAAGUUGCUUGAAUUGGUAAACAAGGGCGAUCGAGGAGCUUCUAGGUAACAUAUUUUCCUCUUAUUCCCCUUAUGUUAACGUCCCUUUCUUCUAACUCUGCCUAUAUGUGAUUUCCAUUCAACUCCCUCUUACCUUGGUCAAAUUUCGUCUUGUCGGACAUCCCAAAACAAAGACCAAACAAACCCUCCCAAGAUAACAUUCAAUAUUAUAUUGACUUGCAUUUUAGAAAGGAAAUACAACAAAAACAUUCCUUCCAAUGAUGUGUCCUACCAACAAGUUAAGAAAAGUCAACCACUACUAGUUUCAUCCGGUUCUGAAACCAAAGAACAACAAGUAAUCAACAUGCCAUCACAUCAAUACAAGCCAUAUAGAGGGCCUCGGGGUCGGUGGUAAAAACAAAAGGCGAGUCAAACUAUGUUGACGAGAUUAAAAAAUUUCAAGAAUGUCGAUAUAUUUCAGCAUGUGAGGCAAUGUGGAGGAUAUUUCGUUUGAUAUUCACUAUAGCAGACCAGCCGUUCAACACCUUUCUUUGCACCUGCCUGACCAACAACCUCUUAUAUUCGAUGCAAACCAAAGUCUCGACAGUGUCAUUUCACGAGAUGGAGUUGACAGGACAAUGUUUACAGAGUGGAUGAAGAUUAAUCAAAGUGACGAAGAAGCCAAAAGUAUGACAUAUGUUCAAUUCCCAACUCGGUUUGUCUGGAAUACCACGACAAAAAAAUGGACAAAAAGAAAACAAGGUUUCAAAAAGUUUGAAGCACUCGAUAUCUAAAAGUGCGCAAAAAACAAAUCAUCUCAUCUGAUUCUGAAGAACAUUUAGACGGCGAAGAGGCGACACCUUAGCACAUCUAUUAUUGUAACUUGACGUUACUAUCUUUACAAUUUCCUAUAUUAGUCUACUUCUCAAAUCUUUAGUUUCACAAGUUAUUUUUAUUUCACAAGUUAUUUCUCUUUAUACAUUUUGUUUCUUUCUCUGGUUCUGUAAUAAACCAUUAUCUUAUCACUAUAGUUUGAGCACCA